UCCCCGCCUGCCCUGGGGGCCUUGGGCCCCGCAGAAGCACCUGAAUUCCCACGGCCCCUCCCCGGCCCUACGCGGGGGCCUGCUCCUGGACGCUGAGCAGCAAGCGGUUCAAACCCCGCGGGCGGGGCUCCUUGCAGGUCCCCGGAGGGAUGAGAACCGGGACCCCCGCGGGGAGUGCAAGGACGGGUUACAGAGGAGAACGCGUUAUCUGCUCUGGGAGGUGAUUUUCAGAACUGAGGGGGAAAAAAAAAGAAAAAGAAAAGAGAAAAAAACCGAAAAACAAACAAACAAACAAACAAACAAACAAAAAACAAGCCCAGGAGGAGCAGAAGUAAACAAAGGGUGGGAGAAAACUGAGCCAAAUGACUUUUUCUUGGUUAGUCUUAAAGUGUCGACCAAAUUCCUUCAGGGCAAAGCUGCAGAGAGUCCUGACGCCCCGCCCCUCCCCCACCUCCGUACCCUUCCUGAGAGGCCCCACAUGACACAGAACUUUACUCUGCUCUUGAGAAUGACAUCACAAGACCUGAAGAGGAGCUAAACGGGCUGACACCUGUAGCUGAAGAGUGCCUUAACGCUGAGUCCCACGGCUCCAUGCGAGAGAUGCCUGUUCCUCCUCUUUGGCAGCUUCACGUACCCUAAGAAUGUUUCCUGAGGUUUCAGAUCUAGUUCCCACAGAAGUUUCCUCUCAAGUACAAUGGUCCCUAAUUGUCUCCAAGGCACAUCCCAAGCAGAUGGACUGGAAGUGCUCUGGGAGGAGGUGAUAUCUCUGGGAGCUGCACAGCAGUCACCAUGUUAUCACCUCCAACACAUAGAGACCCUGCUCAAGGAUGACCCUUUGGAACCCUAUUCUCCACAAGAAAGAGACAGUGAAACUAGGCCUGAGACUGGUAAUUUGGCUCCAAAGCAGGAAGCAUCCAAAGGAAUGGAAUCACAGAAGACGCUGUUCAGUAGAAUCUGCAAAGGCAGGAACAUUUUUCAGGAUACUCAUUUUGGAGACCUUCAUGAAUGUAAGGACAGGUUUGAAAAGCAUCAAGGAAGUUUAAAGGAAGGAAAAGAACACACAUGUGAUCAGUGUGGGAAGUUUCACGCACAACAUCAGUCUUAUUGGACAUCAGAGAAUCUAUACAUGGGAAAAACCCUCUAUGUAUAAACAACGUGGGAGAGUCCUCAGUCAAAACAAAACCUCUUUUAAACACCUCAGAAUUCACACUGGUGAGAAACCUUAUCAGUGUAAUCAGUGUGGUAAGUUUUAGUCGAGGCUCAGUCCUUAUUAAACAUCAGAUAAAUCACACUAGGGAGGAGGCUUAUGAGCGCAGUGAAUGUGGUAAAACCUUCAGUAACAGCAUGGGAUUUACCCAGCAUCAGAGAUUCCAUACCUUAAUAAAAUAUUAUCAGUGCAAUGAGUGUAGGAAAGCUUUCAGGGAAAGUUCAAACCUCACUAAACAUCAGCGAAUUCAUACAGGAGAAAAAUCUUAUGAAUGUGAUGAAUAUGGAAAAGCCUUUGGUGGAAGUUCUGAUCUUACUGGACAUCAGAGAAUUCACACUGGGUAGAAACCCUUUGAAUGUGAUGAAUAUGGGAAGGCCCUCCAUCUGAGCUGACAUCUCACUGAACACCAGAGUCCACAACAGGAGUGACCUCACUUUCCCCAGUCACCCUGUGUACACUGAAGCUUCCAUGCCUUUUUCUUCCAU